AAUAAAUAAAAAAAUAUUAGAGUAUACACAUAAGUCACUUACAGAUGUAAUUAUUUUUAUGGAUACUGUAGGUAAUAGGAUACAGCAACAAAGCUGGGGAAAUACUUAUUUUCUGUGAGCGAAAUAAGAACAUUAGGCCUACUUGCAAAAACAUAUUGGGAUUUUGGCAAAUAAACUACAUGACAAUCGCACUGUAAGCAUAAAAAUGCAUGUUAUAUUAUCAUGAUUAUUUAUCUCGAUGUCUUGGUCAAUCACAUUACAGCUAGCAUAGUAUUUGCAGAGUGGUUUAGCUGGUACCUUUGGCUUGACUGGGGGCAGACAUGCUAAUCCCUGAUGUGAGCUUCAUCGGUAAGGAGACAGCAGUUCAGACCAGCUAAACGCUUUGCAGUUGGGUAUUUUUUAAUGGCGAGCAAUGGAGCGCUUCCAAUUUUAACAGCGGCAUGCCGUUUAUAUGUGAACGGUGUGUUUACUCAGACUUUCCACCUGAUAGCUAAGCUAAUUAGCUAACUAUUGUAGCUGACAACACCAGCAAAUAUUUCCAAGUUAUAUAUAUCGCCCACCCAUCCAACUUUCAUAUGAUUGAUUUUCCCAUUAGCUAACUUUGAUCUCUGUGAUGACGACUUGUUGGUGCUGAAGAUCAAAGCUCUGAGGUCAGGUAAAGAGUACAGAUGUGCAUCCCACAUCACCAGUGGUACUGUAGCAGUCAUGCCCAGGAUUUAGUAAAAGAAAGUUGUGUUCGUUUCAGUGUUUGAACGCUGAAAUAAAUGACUACAUGUGCCUUGAAUGCAUAAAGACACGCCUGUUUGAAUAACUAGAGCACUGGUGUUGUAUACUGGGCUUGUCAAAUGCAAGUUGCUUAUAUUGAGUAGGCUAUGCAAAGAUAUUUGCGGGAAUGUCAGUGUGGCAACAAUAGCUAACAUGGCACCCGCAUGGUAACAUGGCAUCCGCAUGGUAACAUGGCACCCGCAUGAUAACAUGGCACCCGCAUGAUAACAUGGCACCCGUAUGAUAACAUGGCACCCACAUGGUAACAUGGCACCCGCAUGAUAACAUGGCACCCGCAUGAUAACAUGGCACCCGCAUGGUAACAUGGCACCCGCAUGAUAACAUGGCACCCGCAUGAUAACAUGGCACCCGUAUGAUAACAUGGCACCCGUAUGAUAACAUGGCACCCGCAUGAUAACAUGGCACCCGCAUGGUAACAUGGCACCCGUAUGAUAACAUGGCACCCGCAUGAUAACAUGGCACCCGUAUGAUAACAUGGCACCCGCAUGAUAACAUGGCACCCGCAUGGUAACAUGGCACCCGUAUGAUAACAUGGCACCCGUAUGAUAACAUGGCACCCGUAUGAUAACAUGGCACCCGGAUGAUAACAUGGCACCCGCAUGAUAACAUGGCACCCGCAUGGUAACAUGGCACCCGCAUGGUAACAUGGCACCCGUAUGAUAACAUGGCACCCGCAUGAUAACAUGGCACCCGUAUGAUAACAUGGCACCCGCAUGGUAACAUGGCACCCGCAUGAUAACAUGGCACCCGCAUGAUAACAUGGCACCCGCAUAAAUCCACAGUACUAAGGGGAAGUAUGUCACAGUAGCAAUAGAUGUAGAUGUAAUAGCCUCUUAGACAAAUCUAGCCAAAAAGAUAAACUCACCAUUUAACCACGACGAUUUGCCAACUGCCUUUCCAAUGAGAUGCUCACAGAACUUAACGUGGCUGAGUACCUAAAAAGUGGUGAGUACCUAAGGAAAUAUGUACUGUAUGCAACUGAGAGAGUUUGUAACAUGAACAGGGCUGACUGAUUGUUUUGACACUGUACAUCACAAUCACAGCUGAAAUCCUGCGCACUCCACAAAAACACCCAAAUGCUAUUUCCUCUACACAACCCUAUCUGUAAAUCGACUGGCCCAAGCCCAAUUCUGCCCCCAAAACAGCCCAGUUGUGCGUGGAACUUCUCCAUUUGAUAACAAUAAACACAAACCUGAUCCUCAAUAGCAACAACUUCCCAUUGAUUUCUUCUUGUUUACUUUGAACAUUUCAGACUGUCAGCCAUGCGUGGGAAGUUAUAAGAUUUCACCAGUGUUGCUAUCACAAGUCUUGCACCACAUUUACCACGCCAUCAACAUGUGCGUGGGGAGAGGUCUCUUGAAAUGUAACAUCUUAUAGAAAUGUUAUCUCUAGGAGCAAGGACUCAAUGGUUUGAAAUACAAUAUUCUCCAGACUUCCUGAUAAGAUUUGGGAAUUAUGGCUUUCCGAGACUUGAUCAGUAUGUACGGUCGUGGUCAAAUGUUUUGAGAAUGACACAAAUAUUAAUUUUCACAAAGUCUGCUGCAAUUUGCAUAAACUCCGAAAUGUUAUGAAGAUGAAUUGCAGUGUGAUCAGAAUGUGAUCAGAUGAAUUGCAGUGUGAUCAGAAUGUG